rnacentral:rRNA from 1 species
AACCUCCGCAAUGUGAGAAAUCGCGACGGGGGGAUCCCAAGUGCCAUUCUUAACGGGAUGGCUUUUCAUUAGUGUAAAGAGCUUUUGGAAUAAGAGCUGGGCAAGACCGGUGCCAGCCGCCGCGGUAACACCGGCAGCUCUAGUGGUAACAAUUUUUAUUGGGCCUAAAGCGUCCGUAGCCGGUUUAAUAAGUCUCUGGUGAAAUCCUGCAGCUUAACUGUGGGAAUUGCUGGAGAUACUAUUAGACUUGAGACCGGGAGAGGUUAGAGGUACUCCCAGGGUAGAGGUGAAAUUCUGUAAUCCUGGGAGGACCGCCUGUUGCGAAGGCGUCUAACUGGAACGGUUCUGACGGUGAGGGACGAAAGUUAGGGGCGCGAACCGGGAUUAGAUACCCGGGUAGUCCUAACUGUAAACGAUGCGGACUUGGUGUUGGGGUGGCUUUGAGCUGCUUCAGUGCCGAAGGGAAGCUGUUAAGUCCGCCGCCUGGGAAGUACGGUCGCAAGACUGAAACUUAAGGAAUU